AGUGAACGCUGGCGGUAGGCCUAACACAUGCAAGUCGAACGGCAGCACAGUAAGAGCUUGCUCUUACGGGUGGCGAGUGGCGGACGGGUGAGGAAUACAUCGGAAUCUACUUUUUCGUGGGGGAUAACGUAGGGAAACUUACGCUAAUACCGCAUACGACCUACGGGUGAAAGCAGGGGAUCUUCGGACCUUGCGCGAUUGAAUGAGCCGAUGUCGGAUUAGCUAGUUGGCGGGGUAAAGGCCCACCAAGGCGACGAUCCGUAGCUGGUCUGAGAGGAUGAUCAGCCACACUGGAACUGAGACACGGUCCAGACUCCUGCGGGAGGCAGCAGUGGGGAAUAUUGGACAAUGGGCGCAAGCCUGAUCCAGCCAUCCCGCGUGGGUGAAGAAGGCCUUCGGGUUGUAAAGCCCUUUUGUUGGGAAAGAAAAGCAGCAGGUUAAUACCCCGCUGUUCUGACGGUACCCAAAGAAUAAGCACCGGCUAACUUCGUG
rnacentral:rRNA from 1 species